rnacentral:rRNA from 1 species
GUUGGUGAGGUAACGGCCCACCAAGGCUUCGACGGGUAGCUGGUCUGAGAGGACGAUCAGCCACACUGGGACUGAGACACGGCCCAGACUCCUACGGGAGGCAGCAGUGGGGAAUCUUGCGCAAUGGGCGAAAGCCUGACGCAGCAACGCCGCGUGAGGGAUGGAGGCCUUCGGGUUGUAAACCUCUUUCAGUAGGGACGAUUGUGACGGUACCUGCAGAAGAAGCCCCGGCCAACUACGUGCCAGCAGCCGCGGUAAUACGUAGGGGGCGAGCGUUGUCCGGAAUUAUUGGGCGUAAAGAGCUCGUAGGCGGCUUGGUAAGUCGGGUGUGAAACCUCCAGGCUCAACUUGGAGAUGCCACCCGAUACUGCCAUGGCUAGAGUCCGGUAGGGGCCCACGGAAUUCCUGGUGUAGCGGUGAAAUGCGCAGAUAUCAGGAGGAACACCGGUGGCGAAGGCGGUGGGCUGGGCCGGAACUGACGCUGAGGAGCGAAAGCGUGGGGAGCGAACAGGAUUAGAUACCCUGGUAGUCCACGCCGUAAACGUUGGGCACUAGGUGUGGGGGAUUAUCAACGUCCUCCGUGCCGUAGCUAACGCAUUAAGUGCCCCGCCUGGGGGAGUACA